UAGAAUCAGACUUCGGAACAGUCUUCUGUUAUGGCCCAAGACAACUCUGCAAAUAAGACCAUGGAAGUAAGUUGUAGGCGCAGGCGCACCAAAUUCACAGAGGAGCAGUUGAAAAUUCUCAUCAAUGCCUUCAACCAAACACCUUACCCAAGUUCUGCUGCCAGGAGACAACUUGCUUUAAAAGUCAACACUGAAGAGUCUAGAAUCCAGAUGUGGUUUCAGAAUCGAAGAGCUAGGCAUCCAUUCCCAAAAAGAUCUGAGGAGAACACAGACGCAAGCCAAGACCAAGCUCACCCAGCAGAGAAGAUUCAAACUCCAGGUAGAGGAGACAGACGAUGUCGGACCAGCUACUCACCCUCCCAGUUACAAACGCUCAUCAAGGCAUUUGUGGACAACCCUUAUCCUGGGAUUAGUUGCAGAGAGGAACUUGCUGAAGAAAUUGGGGUUCCAGAGUCAACA